CCUACGGGAGGCAGCAGUGAGGAAUAUUGGUCAAUGGUCGCGAGCCUGAACCAGCCAAGUAGCGUGAAGGAUGAAUGCCCUACGGAUUGUACACUUCUUUUGUAAAGGAAUAAAGUGAGGCACGUGUGCCUGUUUGUAUGUACUUUAUGAAUAAGGAUCGGCUAACUCCGUGCCAGCAGCCGCGGUAAUACGGAGGAUCCGAGCGUUAUCCGGAUUUAUUGGGUUUAAAGGGAGAGUAGAUGGGUUGUUAAGUCAGUUGUGAAAGUUUGCGGCUCAACCGUAAAAUUGCAAUGGAUACUGGCAGCCUUGAGUACAGUUGAGGUAGGCGGAAUGCGUGGUGUAGCGGUGAAAUGCUUAGAUAGCACGAAGAACUCCGAUUGCGAAGGCAGCCUACUAAA
rnacentral:rRNA from 1 species